rnacentral:lncRNA from 1 species
AGAAAUCUCAGUUGCAAGCCCGAGGCUGCAACCUGGAAGACAGUGGGGCAGCAGUUGAAUGCAGAGCUCAGGAGCCAUGGUUGGGGCCAACAGGAUGGCCCAGGCCCUCCUUCCCCUGGUCAAAGCCCAAGGCCCUGCAGAGCCGGCCCCUCCCCAGGCAGCCUGGGCCUCCUGGAGGACCCUUGUUUCAGCCCCAGGAAUGAAGAUGGCCAGCUGAGGCUGCAGCCUCUCUCGGCAGGGCCGUGAGCGGUGUCUGUGCUUGAGGACCAGCUCCAGGCCCCUGCUGAACAGCCCCUGCGACUGCAGCGCUUCCCCGUCUUCAAAUGCAGGCCGAAGUUCAAGGCACCUCCAUCCCCAAGGCUAGGAUCCAGCCUUGGAACCAAGCCUCUGCCCCCAUAGCCCACAGAGCCCUCCAGCCCUGAGCGGAGCCCACCCUCCCCAGCCACAGACCAUAGAGGCAGCGGCCCCAAUCCC